rnacentral:lncRNA from 1 species
GCUCUCCGCGCCUCAGCGAGCGGCCAGGCUGCGGGCGGGGUGGGCUGGCGCUCCUGAUCCACCUGGAACACUUUUGCAAAGACAGACGCGGUUCCUCCUACUUCAGAGCAAGUCUGGGCCAGCUGGGAUCCGACCAGAAAUCGCAAGCGGAGGAGACGCAGUAGCGCAGGCUGAGCGCUAACUGAAGGCGCGACCUGAGCCCGGCGCCUGCUGGGGAGCUGCGCAGCCAGGACAGCGGUCGGCAGCACAGGGCCUGGGCGCAGGGCCCGCCGUCACCACCUCACGUCGGAAGCCAGCACUGCUGCCCGCCAGCCCUGCCGCCUGCCCUCGGACUUCCCAGGGCGCCCAGGGUCCUCCCAACGCGCCUGCACCCACACCCGCCCCUGAGCCACAGUGACCUUGCAUUCCCCGCCCCCUGCCACACCUCCUGCGUGCCCGAGUGUCACCCUUAAAUACCGCUCUACACCCAGAGAGGGACGAAUACACCUCUGAAGACAGGGCAAGACUAAUUUCAAUGGGUCAGAAGGUUCUUGCAGGCACUGUUUUAUUUAAGAGUGCCUAUUUACUGGCAGGAGUAUUUGUGUGGGAGGAAGUAGGCUAAGACUGCUGUUGAACUUGAAGCUAAACUUGAAUGCCAUUUAAAAUAACAAUAAAAAUAUACUUAAAACACCAAAAAAAAAAAAAAAAAAAAAAAAAAAA